CUAGUUUUCAGCUCAGAACUUUGAUAUCAUCCUGAGUCCCCUGGAACACUUGGAUUUGUUUACUACUGGUAUAUGGUCAUUGUCAUAAUAAUUUAAUUAUUUACAAGUCUUUUUACUCCACAAAGUUAUUGGGAAUCAGAACUGUGAUUUCUUUGUGGUGCUUGCCACAUGAUGUCAAUUAUUUGUUGAGUGAAUUUAAUAAUUCACCAGAAAU
rnacentral:lncRNA from 1 species